rnacentral:rRNA from 1 species
UUCCGGUUGAUCCCGCCGGACCCUACUGCUAUUGGGGUGGGACUAAGACAUGCAAGUUGUGCGUCUCUAAGCUAUGGUAGAGACGCGGCGUACGGCUCAGUAACACGUGGCUAACCUACCCUUAGGACGGGGACAACCCCGGGAAACUGGGGCUAACAUCUGAUAGGUGAGGAGGCCUGGAAUGGUUCCUCCCUGAAAAGGCGUUGAAACCAUGCUUUUCAGCGUCGCCUAAGGAUGGGGCCGCGCCCGAUCAGGUUGUUGGUGGGGUAACGGCUCACCAAGCCAUUAACCGGUACGGGCCGUGAGAGCGGGAGCCCGGAGAUGGGCACUGAGACAAGGGCCCAGGCCCUACGGGGCGCAGCAGUCGCGAAAACUCCGCAAUGCGCGAAAGCGUGACGGGGCUACCCCGAGUGCCGUCCGCUGAGGAUGACUUUUCCCCGGUGUAAUGAGCCGAGGGAAUAAGGAGAGGGCAAGACUGGUGUCAGCCGCCGCGGUAACACC